rnacentral:misc_RNA from 1 species
AUAUCUCAUGACGGAAGAACAUCUGACGGGUUGAAAAGCAGACAAGUGCGUGUUUAUCAUCAACUGUCGUUACUGAGAGGACUUUGUCAACGACAUUCCGCAACAUGGCUGGUGGAUGUACUGUAACUUCCAAGAUCUGUUUAGUAGUGGUUGGACUGAUAUUUUGGGGUGCUGCUGCAACCCUCUGCUUCAUAGGAGCAUGGGUCUACUCAACGUACAGCCACUUUGACGAGGUGACGGAGGCAAGCCUCACUCUGGUGCCAGCCAGCAUCAUCAUCAGCGGGGGCAUCUUCAUGUUCAUCAUCGGGCUCCUUGGCUGCAUCGCUGCAUGUAAGGAAAACAAGUGCCUAUUAGCAGCGUUCUUCUCCCUGAUUCUCCUGGUGUUCCUGGCAGAGGUUGUUGCAGCUACUAUGGGCUAUGUGUUCAGGAAUGAUGUGAGAGAUGUACUUGACACAGGUCUGAAGGAUGCUGUCAAUCACUACAAUGAGACUGCUGAAAAAAAUCAAAUUGACUAUAUUCAGAAAGAGCUCAAGUGCUGUGGGGUUCACAAUGCCUCCGACUGGGCGACCUCUCCAGGCUGGGGGAACACGACCAUGGUUCCAAGGAGCUGCUGUAGGAAUGCAACAAGCUGUUCUCCAUCACUUACAGGAACAGACAUCUAUAAUGAGGGCUGCCUGGACCUGCUGAAGGAUAAAUUCCUGAUGAACCUUGUGUACAUUGCUGCAGUGACUGUUGCCUUCGCCAUCAUCCAGAUCCUCGGCCUCAUCAGCGCUUGCAUCCUGCUGUGUCGAUCGCGCGAUGUACGUUACGAAACACUGGAGAGUGCCCAACGGAACGGACUACGCGUGUAGAGAGCACACCUCCUCAUCAAAUUUCCAUCCAUGGACCAGUCUAGCUGGCCUUGUUUCACAAUGCUCCUAUGUUCACUGGGUAUAUUGAGCUUUAAUGGGACACACAAAGCUUUCCCUUACGGCAACAUGUCACUAGUUGAUAGUUUUGAUGUGACUAGCAUAAUCUUCAACGAAAUAAAUUAGUAAGUUCUAAACAGGAAUAGUGUAUGCUUUGCAGAAAUCCAAAAUUGUAUUUCUGUGUUUGAAGCAUUGUUUUGUUUGAAAUGUAUGACAAGAAAAUUGAAAUUAGGGCCAUGUUUGGUUACUGUGAGUACUAACCAGUUGACGUGUAUCCUCAUAUUAUACAUGUGUUGUUUACAGGAGAAAUUGUUCCCACACUGAAGUGUGGCAAAUCUUAACUUGGAAAUUGAGAAACAGUUAUGAAGGAAACGGAUUGUCCACCUAGCAUGUCUGAUAGACAGGCGACUGUAUGUAAUUCAUGAAUGUAAAUAUGUGUACAUUUUAUUACUUUACAUGUCUAGAUCUGAUAUAGAUUAAUAGCUGUCCGUGUGCAUUGUUGGAUGACCCUACUGUGAUGGACAAAGAUUUGUAAUCAAAUAAGAUUUCAUUCUCUCGAACUCAAAUGCAAGCAGAGGGCAGUUGAAAUUGCUUGCAUGUUGGCAAAGUGUGCAAAAAUAUAUCAUCUUGAGUUGGGGUAAGUUGAUCACCUUGCCAGGAGAUUUGUUUCGCAAAAAUGGAAUUUUUCCUGGUUUAAAUUUUUUUUAUUUUAUCAGUACACGUUCAGAAUAUUAUUAACUUUGGACAGGACGUUGUUCAAUAGUAUUACCAAAUCUGAAUAAAACCUUUGACAUUUUGGAUGACAAGCAUCAAUGUCCAAGAAAAUGAACUGAUUUGAAACCCUGAGUUGGUGGCCGGUGGUAGGAGACCCCUUGUCCUGUUGACUUGUUAAAGGGAGACUGCUCCAAAAUCUGCUGCCAAUUUCCAAUUUAUAAUAAAUUAAUCCAAUUAAUAAGUAGUUAAUUAAUAUGUAGUGUCUUAUGUGAGCCUAAGACAUUGUUUCUGUGUAGUUAGGUUAAUGAUCAACUGUAAGAUUGAUACUCAUAACAAAACUUGAAGUAGCAGACAGACAAGGAAUAACCUGCGUCAAACUUGCUGGUACUGCCAAUUUACCUGAGCCAAGUCUCCCUUUAAGAGUGAGUACGGUUUUAGGCCGCUUUUAGCAAUACUCCCUCAAUAUCACGGCAGGGGAAACCAGAAAUGGGCUUCACCCAUUGUCCCCAUGUGGAGAACCAAACCCGGGUCUUCGGCUAGAACAAAUGAGCUGUACCUAUUAUGUUAUGUUUGAAGCAUUAUAAUUUCAGUUGCUAGUUGUUUUAGUUGGGACUUCUGGACUAGUGCUAGUUGCAAGUCUAUGACAAGUAUGGGAGCUGAAGUAAUGGUGCCUAUUCUAUUCUAGUUUAAUCUAGUUUGGGAAUAUGGUUAUUUGCACGAAGUCUCAGAAUUAUGAUUGUAAUAUUACAUAUAUAUUUUCCCCCUGUAAUUGGAUUUUGCUGUUGUUUUAUUUAUCAGCCAACAUUUAAGCAAUUCUUUCAUGACUGAUUAUCCUUGUAUCUAGUACAUUUUAAGUUAAGACCUCACAUACCCUCAUUAUAUAUCCCUGUAGUUGACACAAGUAUAGAUAUCAUAUAUUACCAACAGAGGCUAUGAAGAACUACUUUAACACUUGUGAUUGUCUGUGCCUUGUGGUUCAGGGAAGAGACGAUAGUCAGGCUGUAGUUGAAGAACUCUCUUGUCCUUUACUAAGUUAGAUCAUGGAAGCAUUUGAAUGAUUAUACCAUGACAGGUGUGUUUUGAUACAAGGGAAGGCGAUACAUGCCAGCCCUUCUGUGUGGUUUAGUGGUUGUGAGAAAUGACACUUCCGUGUUCUACUUCAUCCUGCAUCAUGAUCAUCACCACCUACAACUGCACCGAGCAAGUGAUAAGAAGUUACGCGUGAAAUGUGCUUUAAUCAGUGUUAAUGUCCAUUGGUUUCUAAUUUGCACAAAUAUUAUGUCUCACACCUCUGUGUUGUGCGAGAAAUUAUUUGAUGAUGUUUUGAUGUAAGUAUUUAUUAAUUUCUGUUGUUUUUUAAUUGUGUUGUCUUUCAUAACUUUGACAGCUGUGUAGAGCUAGUGCUGCUGUAUGUGGGUGUUAGGGCUGGGACGAGUCCAAAUUUACUACCCGGGUACCCGAAAGGAACAUUUUUAGCAUAGCCCUGGCAAAACGUAUUAAGAUACAUGUAUUAAACAAUCUGGUCAUGCAUACACUGAAUUUGAUUUGAGUUAUAUCUUUAUUCAACCAUAUGAAAAAUCAGAAGGAAUGGGUGCAUAGUCAGAAAGAAAUGCGAACAUUAUUGACUUGUAGUGUAACCAUAGAGUUCUAGAUAAUUUUUGUCAUUAAACAAUAUAUCACGUGGUUAACCAUGGGUCCGGGUAGUCCUGUUGGUACCCGGGUCCUACUCAGUACCCACCCAACCCGGGUACCCGAGUUACCCGUCCCAGCCCUAGUGGGUGUUAACAGUGACAAGAGAAUGCUGUUAUUCAAGUCAAGGUUUCUUUCAAUACAUGUAUUUCUUUACCUCUGGUAGAUCAAACCAUGUGGUGGUCUCAAAAGGGAAACCUUUUUGAACAACAGAACACACAAUAAAGCAUGUAAUACUUUCCUUUUUUCAGCUACGUUAAUAUGAAAUGGUCAUUCAUCUGUGUAAAUGUUUACCCUUGUCAUUUUAGCCCACCUUUUUUCAGUGUUUUACAAGUGUAUAGUUAACUAGUGGUGUAUUCUUGGGGUGAAAUGAUGCAUUUUUCUGUAUCGAUACAACACGAUUCACUUGUGAAAUAAAUAACUUGAUUCUAGUUUGACGACCCCUGGCGUUUUUGUCAGUCAAUUAUUACAAAAUAGGUUGUAAUUAGCGUAUGAGGUUUAAUAAUAAACAUAGCAGUUACGAACAAGUUUUCCUUUUGAACCUGCUCUGAAAUAUUUAUUGUCAAAAAGUUUCCAUGCAAUUUGACAUAAAUAUGCGUAGCGCAAUACAUAUCGCAUCAUGACCUCUGUAUCGUGAUACGUAUCGUAUCACAUCCUUGCUGUAUCGUUUCACCCCUAGUAUGUUCCUCCAUUUGGUAUCACUAAUUGCAUUUUCAGCUUCACACAGCACAUGUAAAUAGUUAGGCCUGUCAUACAUUUACUUUAACAUCAUGUGUUAUUGUCAGUGCCCAGAUGCACAGCAGGAAAAUCAUCACAAUAAUUUACAAAGUCUUGCCAAUGGUGCGGUAAUCCCAAACCUCCGCGCCCCCCCACAGGGAGUCCUGUGUGCAGUGGUUGUCAGCUGAGUAGAGUAAGGAUGAGGUUGUCACAGUGAGUGUGUCCUCAUGAACCGAGGAUGUGGAUGGUUGCUCAGGCAACGAUUGAUCAUGUACAGGUCAUCAGGAGUGUGUCCUCAUGAACCGAGGAUGUGGAUGGUUGCUCAGGCAACGAUUGAUCAUGUACAGGUCAUCAGGAGUGUCCUCAUGAACCGCGGAUGUGGAUGGUUGCGCAGGCAACGAUUGAUCAUGUACAGGUCAUCAGGUUACGUAUCACUGGACAAGAGGGCUUCAAGUGAAAGAGAUCCAAGGGGCUGAGGAAUAAGCUUAAUGAAAUGGUGUAAUUUGACAACUAAUAUGAAAUACUGACAGUGUACUCUUGUGAAGUUCUGAUCUAUAUUGUAUGUAUACUCAGUGUUCUGAUGGCCUCAUGCUGGCAUGGUGACCCCUUGGUGUCGAUGAGAGGUGGCCCACUGCUGGCCUCAGACCAACAUCAGUCCUCUGGCACAGUCAGAUAGAUGACCUCAAUAUAGUUGACUGUAUUUGAAACUGAAAACAAGGAAAUGAUUUAAUUUAAUUCUUUUCAGAAUGUUGUUUCACAUUGGCUUGAUGUAGAGAUUUGUUUUGAAAAGUCGUGAUGUAGGUCAAGUGGCCGAUCAUCCCUCUCCUGAGUGUCAUGUGCUGUGUAGUAUGGCUUUCAUCACUGUCAUGUGUGUAGCUGUGUGUAGCUGUGUGUAGAAUAAACCAUGAACAUCA